rnacentral:rRNA from 1 species
UACGGAGGAUCCGAGCGUUAUCCGGAUUUAUUGGGUUUAAAGGGUGCGUAGGCGGUUUGAUAAGUUAGAGGUGAAAUGUCGGGGCUCAACCCCGAAACUGCCUCUAACACUGUCGGACUAGAGAAUAGUUGCGGUAGGCGGAAUGUAUGGUGUAGCGGUGAAAUGCUUAGAGAUCAUACAGAACACCGAUUGCGAAGGCAGCUUACCAAACUAUAUCUGACGUUGAGGCACGAAAGCGUGGGUAGCAAACAGG